CGAGGAACAUGACCUUCGGCGGGGGAUAGCCGGCCCAACGGCCGGGUAAUACCGCGUACGACCACAUGGGGACAUCCCUGAGUGGUGAAAGCAGCAAUGCGCCGAUGGAGUGCCUCGCGGCCUAUCAGCUAGUUGGUGAGGUAACGGCUCACCAAGGCGACGACGGGUANCUGGUCUGAGAGGAUGGCCAGCCACAUUGGGACUGAGACACGGCCCAGACCUGUACGGGGAG
rnacentral:rRNA from 1 species